ACGUUUUCACGGAAGGGCACAAGUGAAAGCCCUCGGGAGGAAGGAGGCGCGGCGGAUCGAUUCCUUGGCCGACCCCGCAGCUCUGCUACUUGAGACCCUAGAGCCGCAAAUUCUCAGGAUUGGAGAGGGGGCGGUCGGCCGAGUGGAUCUUCUGGUCACCUGGUUUAGUGCAUCAUGGACUGCUUGGCCUAGACCCAGGCCUAGCGAAUCUGGCGCCUCUGGGCGGGGCCGGGAAUCUGCAUUUUUGGGAUGAGGCUACAAUAAACUUAGCACAAGCUCCUCCUCAGCCCCAUGGACCUGCGUUGCCACUAACCCCAGGGGGUGCUAGAAACCAACGGGCUGCAACGCGGGAAGGCCGCUGAGGCCAGUGGAAAGUUUUCACGGAAACCCGCGCAGAAUGCCGCUGGCCACACAGGCCUGGAGCCCCGCAGGUCUGCAUGAGAACGUCCCUGCUGGAGGCCAGCAAGCCGCAGAGGGUCUGUGGCGUCUGGAACCGGAAUGGGUUUACCUGAUUUUGACCUAGAGAGGGGCACAGAAAGGGGGACGGCUGUUUUGUUGUUUGUUUUGUUGCAAGAAAAGCAGAGGCCAUCCCGCAAAUCCAGCUGGUCUUGCUAGUGGCUGCCGGUGGGGGACAGGCUGAGGAAAGCCGCCCUUCCCAGGCCAGCCCCUGCGCCUAAGGAGCUGGAGCCCAGCCCCACAGCAGGACUGGGCUCUCUGCACAGGGAGGAGAGGGUUAAGUUGGCUCUGGGCUCUGCAGCUAUAAACAUCGAGCCGAGGGAGGGAGGGAGCUGACACAGGAUGUGGCCUGGGCUCGAGCUGUCUGAUUAUUAACUUCACUUUUAUUUAGAGGGGGAUUCGAUUCUCUGUUUUACUUCCCAUCAAGGAAGUGAAAGCCCAGGUCUCAGAGGGGCCUGGUUUCAAAUUGUUUUGUCACAGCUCAUUUAUUUUUCCUCUUAAAUAAAUAAACAAAAGCA